UACGAACGCUGGCGGCGUGCUUAACACAUGCAAGUCGAACGGAAAGGCCCUGCUUUUGUGGGGUGCUCGAGUGGCGAACGGGUGAGUAACACGUGAGUAACCUGCCCUUGACUUUGGGAUAACUUCAGGAAACUGGGGCUAAUACCGGAUAGGAGCUCCUGCUGCAUGGUGGGGGUUGGAAAGUUUCGGCGGUUGGGGAUGGACUCGCGGCUUAUCAGCUUGUUGGUGGGGUAGUGGCUUACCAAGGCUUUGACGGGUAGCCGGCCUGAGAGGGUGACCGGCCACAUUGGGACUGAGAUACGGCCCAGACUCCUACGGGACGCAGCAGUGGGGAAUAUUGCACAAUGGGCGGAAGCCUGAUGCAGCAACGCCGCGUGCGGGAUGACGGCCUUCGGGUUGUAAACCGCUUUCGCCUGUGACGAAGCGUGAGUGACGGUAAUGGGUAAAGAAGCACCGGCUAACUACGUGCCAGCAGCCGCGGUGAUACGUAGGGUGCGAGCGUUGUCCGGAUUUAUUGGGCGUAAAGGGCUCGUAGGUGGUUGAUCGCGUCGGAG
rnacentral:rRNA from 1 species